rnacentral:snRNA from 1 species
AGCUUUGCGCAGUGGCAGUAUCGUAGCCAAUGAGGUUUAUCCGAGGCGCGAUUAUUGCUAAUUGAAAAAAGCAGAACAUUACCCACCCUAAGUACUUUUUAAAAUACAGUAUUUCAUUCUUACAACAAUUCAAUGAAGUAAUU